AUGGAGACCAGCCCCAGCGCGUCCACGCCGACCAGCUGCGCCACCCUCAACGCCUGCCCAAGCGCGCCCCACAGGCCGUUCGCCAUGGCCAAUCCCGCCCGGGAGCUGCUCAAGAAGGACAACACCUACGUCUACAUGUGCGGCAUCGACUGGCUGGACUACAAGAAGCAGCGCAUCCGCUCGCCCAGUCGCCCACCGGGAAAGUUGCUUCGCCCAUUCGCUCCUCCGGCCAGGACAGCUCGGCCGUCGCUGGAGCGGCAACAACGGCGAGCCGCGGAGACGCGGCCGUGGCAGGGAGCGAAGAUGGCGGCCGUCGUCACAAUCGCAAUUCCUAGCCGGACGCCGCCCGCCCUUGGAGCAGUAGAACCGGGACAAUGGCCAUCGCCGCCCAUCGCCGAACAGCAGAGGAGGCGGCCUCCGCGCCACCGUGCUCCCACCAGCCACUCCGAGCCCCACAACAAGCACUCCCCCGGCCGCAAGCGU
rnacentral:lncRNA from 1 species